rnacentral:rRNA from 1 species
CAGCGAAUCCGCGAGGAGGAGCGAAUCNCAAAACUCGGUCCCAGUUCAGAUUGCAGGCUGCAACUUGCCUGCAUGAAGUUGGAAUUGCUAGUAAUCGCGAAUCAGAAUGUCGCGGUGAAUACGUUCCCGGGCCUUGUACACACCGCCCGUCACACCAUGAGAGCCGAUAACACCCGAAGCCUGUGAGCUAACCGUAAGGGGCAGCAGUCGAAGGUGGGGUUGGUGAUUGGGGUGAAGUCGUAACAAGGUAAC